AAACUCCUUUCAUUUGCUGCAGUUGUCAAAACCAGUCACAGCCUUGGCCUCAAUCAUAGCUCUGAGGUUGUCAAAACCAGUCAGAUCUGGACGCCCACGAAAUUGAAGAUGCAGUCGAUCAACACAAAUCGAACACCACAAACCUGAAGAUGAAAACAUGCACAUCAGACAAGCAUGAACAUCAAACUAAAAACACGCAC